AGAUGACUCAGCAGAAAACUAUGAUGAUGUCAUCAUCGUACGGCAGUUCUCCAAUGAUAAAAAAGACACAUUUAUAUCAGAGGGUGUUCAGGAGGAGUAUGAUGAUGUGAAGAACGUCAGGGAAUAUAUGAGUGACAUAUUUGACUAUGAUGAUGUGGAGGAAGAUCCAGGAAAACAUGGAAGCGCUGUAUAACUCAAACCACACACACACACACACCGCCUCAAAUCAAAGUUUUUAAGUGGUCUGAAAAGUAUUUAUGAUCCCAUACUGUUUUACCUGCAGUCCAGCAAUGUUUUAUGUUGCACUUUGCAUUGAAAUCUUUUAAUUCAGCUACAAUUUCUGAGAGAAAAAAAAAAAAAAAAAAAAAUUUGAAUAUUGAUUUUUUUUCCAUAUGUUUUUGUAGAUCAUGCUAACAAAAAUAUACUUGCGUUCCUAUUGAAUGUAAACCCACUUGUGGACUUCUAUAUUUUGCUAAAAAUUGUUGGAAUUUAAAUCAUAAAAUGAUAAAAUAUUAAAGGAUUAGUUCACUAGUUCCCAAAAUUAAAAUUU